ensembl:antisense Gm14041 predicted gene 14041
GGGUCUGCUUUCCCUCGGACUGUGUUACCUAUGUCAUGCUCUUACAAACCAGCUGCCAGCAUCUGCCUCCAUUACAGAGGUCAAGCUUUCUUCAAGAUGACUUCCUGCCCGGCAGAACUGUUGUGGAAGAUCAUUCUCUGAUCAGUACUGCUGCUAUCUUCGGGAGGGCUGGACCUGCUCACAAGGAAUUGUCAUAGGACUUGCUGGCCACUGAAAGCUGCUCUGCUCCCAAGAUCCCCUGGGAACUACGGUCCCCUAAAAGCAGCUUUUGAUCAA